GAUGAAGAACGUAGCGAAAUGCGAUAAGUAAUGUGAAUUGCAGAAUUCAGUGAAUCAUCGAAUCUUUGAACGCACAUUGCGCCCGCCAGUAUUCUGGCGGGCAUGCCUGUUCGAGCGUCAUUUCAACCAUCAAGCCCCCGGCUUGUGUUGGGGACCUGCGGCUGCCGCAGGCCCUGAAAAGCAGUGGUGGGCUCGCUGUCACACCGAGCGUAGUAGCAUACAUCUCGCUCUGGGCGUGCUGCGGGUUCCGGCCGUUAAACCACCUUCAUAACCCAAGGUUGACCUCGGAUCAGGUAGGAAGACCCGCUGAACUUAAGCAUAUCAAUAAGCGGAGGA
rnacentral:misc_RNA from 1 species